AUACAACUGUCUACGAUAUUUGACUUUUUACUAAAAAUAAAAUACUGCAGACAGAAAUUAAAUACAAAAUUUAAUUCGUGUAAUUCUACAAUACAAUAAUGUACUCGGGUAAUGUACUAACUAGGUAGUUCAAGCAGCUAACAAAAUUGAUCAGUAAACAAACGGACUCUCUGAGCGGAUCCUUGAAACAAUGUUAGUUCGCCCUGAGAACUGCGCCCAGAUUGUUGGUACAAACGAAUUCCUAAAAUAUUCAGAACUCGUUUCCUACGCGGACCCGUACAGUGCAGGUGCAAAGUUUGUUUGAACGAAACAUACAAGCUAAAUAAAUUUCCGAGCUAUAUGUAUAGCUAAUUUUGUUUGAGCUCCGAAGCAAACUUUAAUAAAAAUAAAAAUUAUUAGCAAACUUCGAGCGAUUAAUAAACGUAUGAUGUAUGAGUUUAUUAGCGAAUAAAGUACUUAUAUAAUAUAAAACUUAAGCCCGUGGUCA